AUUGAACGCUGGCGGCAUGCUUUACACAUGCAAGUCGAGCGGCAGCGCGGGGCCAACCCUGGCGGCGAGCGGCGAACGGGUGAGUAAUGCAUCGGAACGUAUCCCCGAGUGGGGGAUAACCCAGCGAAAGUUGGGCUAAUACUGCAUGAGCUCAGAGGAGGAAAGCGGGGGAGCUGCGAGGGCUUCGCGCUGGUGGAGCGGCCGAUGUCCGAUUAGCUAGUUGGUGGGGUAAAGGCUUACCAAGGCGACUAUCGGUAGCUGGACUGAGAGGAUGGUCAGCCGCCCUAGGACUGAGACAGGGCCCAUACUCCUACGGGAGGCAGCAGUGGCGAAUUUUGGACAAUAGGGGGAACCCUGAUCCAGCGAGGGCGCGUGAGAGAAAGAGACCUUCGGGUUGUGAAGCUCUUUCGCACGGAGCGAAAUGGGCGGGACUGAUACUAAUGUCUGAUGACGGUACCGGAAGAAGAAGCACCGGCUAACUACGUG
rnacentral:rRNA from 1 species